rnacentral:lncRNA from 1 species
AAUUCAAGACUAAUUUUCCCAUGUGAACCAAAGAGAUGACAAGUACUUCUACUUAUCAGUUAAAGUGGGACUACCACAUGGUAAUAACAUAAAGAGAAUUUAUAAUUUACUUCAUCUUCAUACCUUGAAAAUAUGUAAUGGCUAACAAAUUUUAAACAUUAUGAGAGAGAUAUCUUAUUUUGAAAACUAUGCAUAAAAAGACGCUUGGAAUACCUCUGUUUGUUCAUAACCAGCUGAGCUAUGAUCUAACUGAAGAAUAUUCAGGAUUAUAAGCAUAAGAGGUAAGGCUAUAUAAUAUAAAAAUAUUCAGUAAAAAUGUUAAUGUAAAACUUUUCCUCCAGGGCAAACAACAAUGAAUAUUGUCCUUCAGGAGAUAAUUUUUCAUAUAUGAGACUAUUGUGCUUGAGAAUCUCACUGUGCUAUGUUCAGAAAGGUCUGGAAAAACCUUAAGCAACCCAUACUCCAUUUGGGGCCUUUUUUCGCCUGAAAGUAUCAGUAAAUCUUGACUCAGAGCUCCUAAAGUAUGAAGCUUACUUCCCCUUCCUUCUGUCCACUUUACCUCUCUGUUACAGACCGCGGUCCCAGCUGCUCUCCUUGCUUCCUGUUGUAAAGACUAAGAAAACGGAGGAAUUUUAGAGGAAAGACCUGAAAAGGAAUCCAAAUACAUCUCAAGAAAUUUAAAAAUUUCUGUCUUUACUGAAUGUUUACCUUCAAGAAUUUACAAAAAAGAACAUACAAAAUAUAUUAGUGGGACUGUAGAAAGAGGACAAUGCGUUAAUCAUGAAGAUGUGAGAUAAAUAAAAUAGUGGCUGUUUUCUACUCUGAACA